rnacentral:lncRNA from 1 species
AAGAAAAAAUAACAAUAAAAAUAAAAAUAAGUGUUAAAUAUUAAGUAAUUAAUUAAAAUGGCAUUAAAUACAGAUGGUGGAAAGAAGAAGCCUUUGAAGCAAGCAAAAAGUGAGAAGUUUGUGACAGAGGAGGAUUUAGAAUUCAAAAAGAAGCAAGCAGAAGAAAAGAAGAAAUUACAACAGAUGAGUAAGGACCUUAAAAGUAAAAAGAAAUGAUGAAGUGAAUUUUAAGGAUAGAGAUUUUGAAUUAGAAGUUGAAAAAAGCGAGAAUUAUUGAAUUAAUAUAUAAUUAAGUUAAUAGGGAUUUCUAUAGAUUUCUUUGUGAAUGAUAGGAACUAUUACAUUGUAGAUUAGUAUAGGAAUUUAAUAUUAAGGUAUCAUUU